rnacentral:rRNA from 1 species
CGGAGCGAAUGGAUUAAAAGAGCUUGCUCUUAUGAAGUUAGCGGCGGACGGGUGAGUAACACGUGGGUAACCUGCCCAUAAGACUGGGAUAACUCCGGGAAACCGGGGCUAAUACCGGAUAACAUUUUGAACUGCAUGGUUCGAAAUUGAAAGGCGGCUUCGGCUGUCACUUAUGGAUGGACCCGCGUCGCAUUAGCUAGUUGGUGAGGUAACGGCUCACCAAGGCAACGAUGCGUAGCCGACCUGAGAGGGUGAUCGGCCACACUGGGACUGAGACACGGCCCAGACUCCUACGGGAGGCAGCAGUAGGGAAUCUUCCGCAAUGGACGAAAGUCUGACGGAGCAACGCCGCGUGAGUGAUGAAGGCUUUCGGGUCGUAAAACUCUUUGUUAGGGAAGAACAAGUGCUAGUUGAAUAAGCUGGCACCUUGACGGUACCUAACCAGAAAGCCACGGCUAACUACGUGCCAGCAGCCGCGGUAAUACGUAGGUGGCAAGCGUUAUCCGGAAUUAUUGGGCGUAAAGCGCGCGCAGGUGGUUUCUUAAGUCUGAUGUGAAAGCCCACGGCUCACCGUGGAGGGUCAUUGGAAACUGGGAGACUUGAGUGCAGAAGAGGAAAGUGGAAUUCCAUGUGUAGCGGUGAAAUGCG